rnacentral:rRNA from 1 species
UGGGGAAUAUUGCACAAUGGGCGCAAGCCUGAUGCAGCCAUGCCGCGUGUAUGAAGAAGGCCUUCGGAUUGUAAAGUACUUUCAGCGGGGAGGAAGGUGUUGAGGCUAAUAACCUCAGCAAUUGACGUUACCCGCAGAAGAAGCACCGGCUAACUCCGUACCAGCAGCCGCGGUAAUACGGAGGGUGCAAGCGUUAAUCGGAAUUACUGGGCGUAAAGCGCACGCAGGCGGUCUGUCAAGUCGGAUGUGAAAUCCCCGGGCUCAACCUGGGAACUGCAUUCGAAACUGGCAGGCUAAAGUCUUGUAGAGGGGGGUAGAAUUCCAGGUGUAGCGGUGAAAUGCGUAGAGAUCUGGAGGAAUACCGGUGGCGAAGGCGGCCCCCUGGACAAAGACUGACGCUCAGGUGCGAAAGCGUGGGGAGCAAACA